rnacentral:rRNA from 1 species
GUAGGUGGCAAGCGUUGUCCGGAAUUAUUGGGCGUAAAGCGCGCGCAGGCGGUUCUUUAAGUCUGAUGUGAAAGCCCACGGCUCAACCGUGGAGGGUCAGUGGAAACUGGAGAACUUGAGUACAGAAGAGGAAAGCGGAAUUCCACGUGUAGCGGUGAAAUGCGUAGAGAUGUGGAGGAACACCAGUGGCGAAGGCGGCUUUCUGGUCUGUAACUGACGCUGAGGCGCGAAAGCGUGGGGAGCAAACAGGGAUUAGAUACCCUGGUAGUCCACGCCGUAAACGAUGAGUGCUAAGUGUUAGGGGGUUUCCGCCCCCUUAGUGCUGCAGCUAACGCAUUAAGCACUCCGCCUGGGGAGUACGGCCGCAAGGCUG